GACGAAGGAUCCAAGCGUUGUCCGGAUUUACUGGGUUUAAAGGGUGCGUAGGCGGAGUUCUAAGUCAGUGGUGAAAGCCCGCAGCUUAACUGCGGAACUGCCAUUGAAACUGGAAUUCUUGAAUGCGGUGGAGGUAGAUGGAAUGUAACAUGUAGCGGUGAAAUGCUUAGAUAUGUUACAGAACACCGAUUGCGAAGGCAGUCUGCUACACCGUGAUUGACGCUGAGGCACGAAAGCGUGGGGAGCAAAC
rnacentral:rRNA from 1 species